rnacentral:lncRNA from 1 species
CACAAAUUUAGAAAAUGGAGCUUUUCAUAAAGGUAAUGAGGUGCAUUCAAUGAUUUACAGAAAUGAGGAAAAUUGCUUACAAUUUUCUCUUCCAGUUUGGCAUUUUCUGCAUCUACCAGAAAUAUUUCAGCGAUAACACACAUCAUAGCCUUGAAGUCUAGAGAGGGAUGGGGAAGAAUGAGUUGGAUUGUCUUUUAUCUUGCCCUUCACACAAGGCAAUUGUGUGUGAGCCAAAUCAAGGCAAGCGACUGUAUUUUGUACAGGUGUAAAUGAUUGAAGGGUAUUUUUCAAGGGUGAUUCAGCUGUCGUAUUUUGGAUGUCUAUUUUCAGAUGAGAUGAAUUGCACUGCAGAAAUACUUGUUUCUUCUUAUUGUCUAUAAAGGGAGCCUGGGGCAACCAGCUUGGAUAAUGGGAAAACAUAACAAAAAUGUGCAAGAGAGUAUUUGAGAAUAAAUGUAUGAGUAUGUAUUGAAAGAAUGCAUCAUCAUCCUUUCACAGACUGAAGCAAAAUUAAUCCUGCACGCAUCACUGCCAUCUCAUGUUUAGUAAGUGCUUAUCUUUCAGCCUUUGUGUUAUCUAAGUGCAUCAUGUUAAAACAGUCUAUUGAGAUGAUUCAUGUCAUGCCCAGGAACAUGUGCACACUCACAUAUGUUCUUCUCUAUGCUGUUCCCUAGACAGCAUAAGCUGAAGCUUCACAGCAGACAAAGCUCUGUUCAACAUUGUCAUGAAAUGGAGAAAGAAAUCCUGCUGGGAUAUCGUGCAGAGUGUGUGAAAUUAAGGCAAGAGAACUUUGUGGAAGAAACCAGAGGGAGGAGAAGAUUAAAAAAAAAACCACAAGAAAACUGAACAACAAAAAUCUAACAAACAAAAAGAUUAGGCAACUGAAGAUUUUGUGAAUAUGUUUUAUAUAAACCCAAAUAUUAUACGGAAUAUCAGCUUUUCUGGAGAUUUUUUUUUUCAUUAAGCAACUUCCAUUUCUAAGCACCUGAGAUUUUAAAUAUAAUUUUCAGAUAUGACAUGGGGCUUUUUGUUGUUUCUUUACAUUGUCAUGGCAGCUCCCAGUGAAAACUUUAGCUCUGACUUCAGUGGGAAUGAAGAGAAGUUGCCAAUGAACACAUUAAAAAAAUCUUUUCGUUAAUGCAUCAUUACAAAUGAGGUUACCUCUACUUUUGUUCUUUAUUUGGAACAUCUUGUCCAUGUCUCCAUGAAAAUUACAGCUGUUGAUUAAAAUGUCUGGAAAACCUUCCAAAUGUCUUUGAUUCUCAUCCAUGAAACAAGUCCUGCUUUUGUUGUGUCACAGGGCAGGGAACGGAGAUAAAGGGUGGCAGCAAGGGCAGGAUUUAUUUCCUAGAAAGUCUUUUGGGUGUACAGAGCUCUUCCUGGAUGGCAAAGUACGGUCUUCU